ACCGCGAAGUUAGCUCGCCCCGCGACAGACCAGAUCGCGCGUGUGUGUGUUCGCGUGAACACGCACGCUAGAGUGACGAGAUUGUAAAAAUCGCGUCGCUCGAAGCUGACGAUUCGUUCGCACUGGCGCGCCGCCGUCUUCGAGUAUCCGUAGUGAUGCUCGUGUAUGGGCGGACGGUCAGCGUUGUGUGUCGAACGUUCGUUGAAAUACACGGCGCCCGACGCCGAGAAACUAGUUCGUUCACGAACACCGUGUUCGAAAACGUUGCCGCGUAAAGUGGUAGAGUGCGAAGACCGCGUGUGCGUUUACACGCACACGUCGAUGAUACGGUAGCUGUCGCGGAGAACGUCGGAUGAACGGGCAUCGAGAGUCCUUAGUCGGUUUCAUACGAUGCGAAGACGCUUCUCGAUUAUAGAGUCGACAGUUUGCCGUUUUGUUUUUCGCGUAAUUUCUCUACCACGUACGACGUUGUACGUGCGAUUGCGCGCGCGUUCGCGUCGUUAUUCCGGCCGUUGUCGACGAAUUCGCUCACGCGUCACUGUACGGACGCGAUGAUGACGAUCGAAAACGGACACAUUCGGAAGACGAUUGCGAGCGUGCGACAAUUCGCGUUAUAYGUACUCCGUGCUGUG
rnacentral:rRNA from 1 species